AGAGAGAGAGAGAGAGAGAGAGAGAGAGAGGGAGAGAGUUAAAAGAGGUGCAAGCAGACGUGGAUGAGCAGACUCCAGGGGGAUUGGCGAAUGUGUCUGCGCGCGUGUGCCUCCAGCUCGGAACCCAACAUCACCAUUUUUAUAGACCUGAACAGGAGAAGCUCCCAGACAUCACCUGAGCUAACCUUGAUGGGUUUCGGGAAUCUUUGGCUUUUUGGAUCGCAGCGUCACCCUCAAGAUGUCAUCGGCAGUAGAUCAGAGGGAGAGAAGAAUCAACAGAGCGUUGUCCAUUCUCGAAACGAAGGUCUUCAUGGAGUUUUAAUCCACGACAAGAUAGCGAUCAAAAAGGGGCCAUAACUGACCUUUCCACCUCCACCAUAACCCCAUGAUGACUGAAUUUGAAUCCAAAUGAUCAUUACUGAAGUCGAUGUUACGCGAUGAUUUCGUUCUUUAUUUUUCAAUAGAUCGGGGUUCCGGAGUUCUUUAUUUUACUAGAUGAAAGCAAUCCACUUGAAGAGUAUUAGGAGUGUGAAAUUAUAGCAGGUCAUAUCAUCAAAGAAUCGU